rnacentral:rRNA from 1 species
UAGCCGUAAACGAUACUCGCUAGGUGUCGGCCACGGUGCGACCGUUGUCGGUGCCGUAGGGAAGCCGUGAAGCGAGCCACCUGGGAAGUACGGCCGCAAGGCUGAAACUUAAAGGAAUUGGCGGGGGAGGCACAACAACGGGUGGAGCUUGCGGUUUAAUUUGGAUUCAACGCCGGAAAUCUUACCGGGACCGACAGCAACAUGAAGGCCAAGCUGAAGACUUUGCCGGAUUAGCUGAGAGGUGGUGCAUGGCGUCAGUGACU